UCAGGAUGAACGCUAGCGGCAGGCUUAAUACAUGCAAGUCGAGGGGCAGCAUGGUGUAGCAAUACUUGAUGGCGACCGGCAAACGGGUGAGGAACACGUACACAACCUUCCUUCAAGCGGGGAAUAGCCCAGAGUAAAUUUGGAUUAAUACCCCAUAAUAUAUUUGAUAAGGCAUCUUAUUAAUAUUAAAGCUUCGGCACUUGAUGAUGGGUGUGCGGCUGAUUAGAUAGUUGGCGGGUAACGGCCCACCAAGUCUACGAUCAGUAGCUGAUGUGAGAGCAUGAUCAGCCACACGGGCACUGAGACACGGGCCCGACUCCUACGGGAGGCAGCAGUAAGGAAUAUUGGACAAUGGACGAAAGUCUGAUCCAGCCAUGCCGCGUGAAGGAUUAAGGUCCUCUGGAUUGUAAACUUCUUUUAUAUGGGACGAAAAAAGGGCAUUCUUGUUCACUUGACGGUACCAUAUGAAUAAGCACCGGCCAACUCCGUG
rnacentral:rRNA from 1 species